rnacentral:lncRNA from 1 species
UUUGCAGACCUUCUCCCACGCUGGAAGCUCUCCUCCCUCUCAGACACUUGUCCAGGUCCAGCCUGCUCCUGUCUCCAUGAGACUGUUCCUGCUCUUGCCUGGCCCCAGUCCUUGGUGGGGUCUGUCAGCCCUGCAUCUUUCACCCUUCCAGGCAGGGGGACAGGUCCCAGGGGAUGCAGCUGCAGGGCCAUGACCAGCUCUGCCCGCCCUGCUGGGGAGUGGCCAGAGAAACUCCGGAAUUAAAGUGAACGAAUGAAGACUACAGUACCCUGAACUGAGGUCCUGGGAUUAACUAAAGAGCAAGAGCUUGUAAAGCCAACAGUUGAGGUUCUUCAGUGUCUAUUAUAUAUUGCCAUCUCAUCAGAUAAACUUAAAAGGGUAAGAAGUAUUCAUGUUAUUGUACUGUCAUUAUUUAAUAAAAUUAAAAAUAA